rnacentral:rRNA from 1 species
GCUCAGAUUGAACGCUUGCGGCAGGCCUAACACAUGCAAGUCGAGCUGUAGCACAGAGAGCUUGCUCUCGGGUGACGAGCGGCGGACGGGUGAGUAAUGUCUGGGAAACUGCUGAUGGAGGGGGAUAACUACUGGAAACGGUAGCUAAUACCGCAUAAUGUCGCAAGACCAAAGUGGGGGACUUUCGGGCAUCAUGCCAUCAGAUGUGCCCAGAUGGGAUUAGCUAGUAGGUGGGGUAACGGCUCACCUAGGCGACGAUCCCUAGCUGGUCUGAGAGGAUGACCAGCCACACUGGAACUGAGACACGGUCCAGACUCCUACGGGAGGCAGCAGUGGGGAAUAUUGCACAAUGGGCGCAAGCCUGAUGCAGCCAUGCCGCGUGUGUGAAGAAGGCCUUCGGGUUGUAAAGCACUUUCAGCGGGGAGGAAGGCGUUAAGGUUAAUAACCUCGUCGAUUGACGUUACCCGCAGAAGAAGCACCGGCUAACUCCGUGCCAGCAGCCGCGGUAAUACGGAGGGUGCAAGCGUUAAUCGGAAUUACUGGGCGUAAAGCGCACGCAGGCGGUCUGUCAAGUCGGAUGUGAAAUCCCCGGGCUCAACCUGGGAACUGCAUUCGAAACUGGCAGGCUAGAGUCUUGUAGAGGGGGGUAGAAUUCCAGGUGUAGCGGUGAAAUGCGUAGAGAUCUGGAGGAAUACCGGUGGCGAAGGCGGCCCCCUGGACAAAGACUGACGCUCAGGUGCGAAAGCGUGGGGAGCAAACAGGAUUAGAUACCCUGGUAGUCCACGCCGUAAACGAUGUCGAUUUGGAGGUUGUGCCCUUGAGGCGUGGCUUCCGGAGCUAACGCGUUAAAUCGACCGCCUGGGGAGUACGGCCGCAAGGUUAAAACUCAAAUGAAUUGACGGGGGCCCGCACAAGCGGUGGAGCAUGUGGUUUAAUUCGAUGCAACGCGAAGAACCUUACCUGGUCUUGACAUCCACAGAACUUACGCAGAGAUGGAUUGGU